rnacentral:lncRNA from 1 species
ACAUCACACAUUCUUGGACAACUCCAUGAUGUAGGCAGGCAGGUUCACUUUCACAAGAAAUUCACAGUGAUUACCUCCACUCUGCACAGACGCUCUGUUGGACCCUUUCGUACCAACAGUGUCUAAGCACCAAGGGAAAACAGCCUCAGGCUGUAUAGCUAGCUGUGUGCUCUCCUUUCCUUGUGUGCGUGUCUGUGUGUGGAAAUGAGAGCCAGGAUUCUGAUCGUUGUCUACCAUGGGAGAUUCAAAAGGGUAGAUUUCAAAAUUGAUCUAUGAGAACAUGGUACUAAGACUUCCAAACUGUCUCCCCUGGCACAAAGACAGUGGAGGCAGCGGGUCGCCAUGUGGAGGCAGCUGGGGUUUAGAAAGAUGAUUGUAGGCCCUCAACUACAGUUUUCUCUUCCCCGAGGUUCAUCCCUGUUUCGCCCUCUGUUACCAGCUUCUUAGUUCUUAACCCUGCGAUUUGGUUCUCCGACAUCCUUUUUUUUUUUCAGCUCUUAGUAGCUCAGCUUCAGAUAUGGAGUAUCUUGGGUCAGGAGGGAAUGGCUAUUAACCCGACCUAAGAGACUGGUUUGCGUUCCCACUCCAGAGCUGAGAAGUUACUGACAGAAUAAUUACUAAGGCCUGACAGUGCCCCCUCGUGGUAGGUACUGAGAUAGCAGGCUUUUCUCUGUCACUUCUAAGUUUGACAAAAAUGUUUUAGGCACAGUACAUGUAAUCUUCAACUCAAAUCCUGAAUAAGAGUGUGCUGGCAAACACCAUAGAGUGGACAGAAGCCUGGAGAAAGACACCAGAAAGCUUGAGAGCAAAGUACUUUUUCCACCAGCUUUUUAGAAGUGACGCAGAUGUCAUGACUACCGUUUAAAAAGUAUUAGGUCUUCAACUCUCAUGCAUUCCCCAUCCCGUUUCAUUGGGGGGGGGGGGGAACUUCCUCAAGACAUUUUCCAGGACAAUGUAUACAUAAAAUUAAGUAAUUGUCAGUGUCAUUUUCAAGUCUAAGUCUAGAACACACAGUUCCCCGCUGGUAUGGUAAUUGGAUAUACUAGCUUAAAAUCACUUGGCAACGUAGUAAAUACUUUCUGUCCAAACCACUGCCUCUUCUCAUUAGCCAUUCUCACAACAGCCAUGU